GAUGAACGCUGGCGGCGUGCCUAAUACAUGCAAGUCGAGCGAACGGACGAGAAGCUUGCUUCUCUGAUGUUAGCGGCGGACGGGUGAGUAACACGUGGAUAACCUACCUAUAAGACUGGGAUAACUUCGGGAAACCGGAGCUAAUACCGGAUAAUAUUUUGAACCGCAUGGUUCAAAAGUGAAAGACGGUCUUGCUGUCACUUAUAGAUGGAUCCGCGCUGCAUUAGCUAGUUGGUAAGGUAACGGCUUACCAAGGCAACGAUGCAUAGCCGACCUGAGAGGGUGAUCGGCGACACUGGAACGGAGACACGGUCCAGAAUCCUACGGGAGGCAGCAGUAGGGAAUCUUCCGCAACGGGCGAAAGCAUGACGGAGCAACGCCGCGUGAGGGAUGAAGGUCGUCGGAUCGUAAAACUCUGUUAUUAGGGAAGAACAUAUGUGUAAGUAACUGUGCACAUCUUGACGGUAGCUAAUCAGAAAGCCACGGCUAACUACGUG
rnacentral:rRNA from 1 species